rnacentral:rRNA from 1 species
AUGAUUAAUACCGGAUAGUCUCUUUGGAGUAAAAAUUUAUUGCUUGGGGAGGAGCCUGCGGUCUAUCAGCUAUUUGGUAAGGUAAAAGCUUACCAAGGCUAUGACGGAUACCUGGUCUGAGAGGAUGAUCAGGCACAAUGGAACUGAGACACGGUCCAUACUCCUACGGGAGGCAGCAGUGAGGAAUCUUCCACAAUGGACGAAAGUCUGAUGGAGCGACACCGCGUGAAGGAUGAAGGCCUAACGGUUGUAAACUUCUUUUCUGAAGGAGCAUAAUGAGAGUACUUCAGGAAUAAGGGACGGCUAAAUACGUGCCAGCAGCCGCGGUAAUACGUAUGUCUCA